GAUCCUGGCUCAGGAUGAACGCUGGCGGCGUGCUUAACACAUGCAAGUCGAACGGAACUACUUUAAUGAGAUUCUUCGGAAAGGAUUUGAUUUAGUUUAGUGGCGGACGGGUGAGUAACGCGUGGGUAACCUGCCUCAUACAGGGGGAUAACAGUUGGAAACGGCUGUUAAUACCGCAUAAGCGCACAGUACCGCAUGGUACCGUGUGAAAAACUCCGGUGGUAUGAGAUGGACCCGCGUCUGAUUAGCUGGUUGG
rnacentral:rRNA from 1 species